UACGGAGGAUGCAAGCGUUAUCCGGAAUUACUGGGCGUAAAGCGCGUGUAGGCGGUUGCCCAAGUCAGGUGUGAAAGCCUUGAGCUCAACUCAAGAAAUGCACUUGGUACUGGGUGGCUAGAGGACCGGAGAGGAUAGUGGAAUUCCCAGUGUAGUGGUGAAAUACGUAGAGAUUGGGAAGAACACCAGUGGCGAAGGCGGCUAUCUGGACGGUUACUGACGCUAAGACUCGAAAGCGUGGGGAGCAAACAGG
rnacentral:rRNA from 1 species